GACCAUUUUGUGUAAAGUUAGGCAGGAACCUAAGCUAUUUUUUGCCAAAAUGACAGACAGCUAAAUCUCCUGACUGUUGAUGGGAGAAGCUCUUCUGUCAACAUAGCGCUGUCUACAUGGGGGAUUAGGUCAGGAUAACUAAGUCGCUCAGGGGGGUGGAUUUUUCAUCCCCCCUUAUACCAAUUUAGGUCUCUUGUGUAGACCUGGCCCCAGUAUUGCAAUGCCUAUGACCCUUUGUGGAGCCAGGCCAAGAUGCCAAGAGGCUUGGUGAGAUUAAGCAUUGGAAAGGGUGUGAGCAUUCACUAUUUUAAUACAUAUGCAAUGUACAAUUUUAAUAAUAAACAAGGAGGAAAAAAUGAUCCCAUGGAGGAUGGGGAAGGGGGAAAAGGAGAAAUUACUAGUCUGCAGGAAUCAUGGGUGUGCUUGAAGCAGUUCUAACUGAGACUUUCUACUCUCACAGGAGGUUCACCUUUAACGAUGGCUAGGAGUAUGGUGACAUAGUUCUUAUUUACUAGUUAUACUUUCCACUUUGCCCAUCACUGCCAAUGUGGCCAUCUCUGGAGUAAAAUACAACAAUGGAUAUGGAUUCAGAGAGACACUAUGGAAGAUCUUGUGACAAUAUGGGCUUCCCAGAAACACAGUGUCACCAGUCAGCAUGCUGUAUGACUGCUCAAAAUGCCGUACAAGGACAGAAAGUGGAGAGACAUAUUGGUUUGAUAUCACUGAAGUGCAGAAGAGAGACAUCGUAUCAUCCCUUCUUUUCUGCAUUGUGAUAGAUUGAGAUGCAAAGAGCAAUAUCAAAGGGAAAUACAGGAGUUAAGUGGCAUUGAGGGAAAACUUCAAGAUGUUUACUCUGCAGAUUAUAUUGUUCUCUUGGACAUAGAUGGCAAUGCCAUGAGGGAGACCACUAUUAUUGUCAAAUGUGAGGCUGCUAAAGUAGGCUUAAGAAUCGGCCAAAAGGAAACAAAAGUCAUGAUUGUCGAAAGAGGAGUCAGCAUUGAUGGUACAUUUGUGAUUGAUAGUGACUAAUAUGGCAUGGUUAACAAGUUUGUAUAUCUUGAGAGCACAAUCAUUGCCGACGGCCAACUCCAUAAGAAGGUGAAAGAAAGAACUGGAAAGGCAAAUGGAGCUUUUUUCAAGACUGGCAAAUAUUUGGAAAAAUAAGGAGAUUCAUGCAAGAACCAAGAUAAAGUUAUACAAUGUCAUUAUGAAACUCACAUUGUUAUAUGCUUCUGAAACUUGGCAAAUGCUAGAAGCCCACAAGAGGAAACAAUGCAUUCCAUCAGAGAUGCUUGCAGAGACUAGUUGGUGUCUGCUAGCAGGAUAAAGUAACUAAUGAUAUGUUACAAAAGACUGGCCAACAAACUGUACAGAUAAUGAUUCAAGAAAUGAUUCAAGAAAGAAGGCUCAAGUGGUUUGGGCAUGUUGUAGGGAUGUCAAAAAACUAUUCCUGGACAAGCCCUUGACUGGAUACCACUUGGUGGAAGAUAGAAAAGAGGAAGGCAACAGUUGGCAUAUAUGAAAACCAUUGAGAAAGAUGUUGAUGUCUUGGAAACAGACUACAAUGAAGCAAGAAACUUGGUAUUAGACAGAGGUGGAAACACUGGGUUGUCUCACAAUCUAAUAUUCUCCCUGCUCAUCAUUUUCCCCUCAAAGGUCUGACACCAAGUGACAUUUUUUUAGAAGUAUCUGUUGUGUAAUUAAUUCCAGCUUGUGAACCACUUGACUAAUUUACUUUUAAAUUCUCGUAAAAUUCGUUCUCUACUCACAGAAUAAACUCUGUUUUUUUGAGGGGGUUAUGCUCUAUUCUUCAAAAACAAAGCGGGGAUUCAUCCUUUUUGUUAAGUGCAAAACUCAGCCUUAGCUAUGGAGCUGCAACUGGUAUCUCUAGUAGCCUUGGGAAAUGGGAGUCCAACUCCAUCCAAAUUGGCAAGGUGUAUUUCUUAUUGACUGGUGUCCUGUUGUGUGAAAGCAUCCAAAGAGAUGGUAUGGUUCCCUGAAAUAGUUGUUUUCCUCAUUGUUUUGAUAGGGUGUUGCCUUGCACCACCAGGCAGAUCAGAAGCUUGGUUUUCCUCUCUGUGCUAACCACUGCAGGAACAUAGGUUUGCAUGGCCUCUUAGGGUAUGUCUACAUGACAUGAAGAAACCCACAGCAGCGACCCUAAGCCCAGGUCUACAGACUCAGGCUCAUGCGACAGCGUUAAAAAUAGCUAUGUAGACAUUCAGGCCUACAGAUUCAGGCUCACAGGGCUCCUAUUAGAGUGCUCAAAAUAGUGGUGACGAUGUUUGGAUCUGGGCUUCAGCUUAGGCUCUGAAGCCCACCCUCCUCCUUAGGAAUAUCUACACAGCUAUUUUUAGUACCAUAGCGCGAGUCCCAGUCUGUAGACUUGGGCUCUGAGACACACUGCCAAAAGUUUCUGUUUGCAAUGUAAACAUGCUUUACAGCUUUAGACGGUAUAUAUCCUUUUGUACUACAUCUGCUAUUUGAGCACCAUCUGGGCAAAACUGUUAUCAACUUCUGUACUGUAUAAUAUGAUCCAAAAAUGGAGGAAAAUCAGCUUAAUGUCCAGUUCACUUGUAUAUGCUUUUAGUCUUCUCUUCUGACAAACAAGUAUAUGCACACUCAGUAUAACCAACCCUGGCUGAAAAUUAGAGGUCAGAUCCUGCAGCAAUGAAACUAACAUGCAGUACUUAAUUUGUAAUGAAAGAUGUGCCAGGGCUCAAGCAGUUUUUUACAUUCAUAAGUGAUGCAGCAAAUCCAGAGGUGCUGGGGCUAUGACCUACCAAGCUUAGAGGUGCUGAGGCUCAGCCCUGGCAAGCCCUGGCACAAAUUAAGCACUGCCACCAUGAGUUCUGGGACUGAGUCCAUUCACGUUGGUAAUUUUAGUUUUGUUUAAUCAUGCCUUGUUAUCUUGAAUGGUAGUGACAUUUUAAGUGAUCUAAUCUCAUGUGUUCUAUUGAUUUGUUAUACAAAUUUCUUUGUCAGUUUUGAACUUUUAAAAAAGAAUACUCAGACAAGAGUUCUGAUUGUCCUGACAAUUACAUUUCCAAUAGCAACCCAGUGAUCAUAAGUAAACAACAAUUUACCCCAGCCAGCAGACAAUAAAAUGUGAAAAAAUACCAAAAAAACCUUCUUAUCCCCAAAUCCAACCUCACCCUUCCCCAAAAGCUGUCACACAAAUGGCUUUAGCAGCAUGCCUAGACGGUCAUCAACUACAGUCUAUUUCAAACCAGGAUGGGAAGCAAGUUUGAGUCCUGGUGCCCUCACUGAAAAUAUACCUCCAGGGAUGUAAUGGGGGGAGUCAUUUUGAUUACCUUCUCUGACCACCCCUGUGGCAGUGUAAUCUGGUGGCCACCACCUGAGCACCCCUUGAUGGCAAAAGGUCACUUUGCAGGCCCCUGCAUCUGUUAGAUCCCUUAAAAGCUCUACAUAGUCUCUCUUGUGGCUAGUAGCAUCCCCCAGUUAGGGCUGGUUUAAUCACAGAAAUGAUUCAAACAAUCCUCAGAGUCCCCAAAAUGAAGUCUAUAAUCACAACACAAUAGUUCAUAUUCAGCUCUGGUUCUUCUUCUGACACACACAGAGCUCUUCCCUCUGUCUCAGACAGCUUUCAUUCUACUUCUGGAGCACUGGCCAUAGGGCUUCCGCUCUGAGCACCUGCCCCCUUGUUCUGGGGACCCACCACUGGGAAUUAGCCUCACUCCUCUAUGGUUCCUCUCCCCAGACACAGUCUGCACAAUCACUCCUUCUCUUCCUGCCUUCUGACAUGCCAUUAUAGGCAUUUAUAGAUCUGCUCCCUUUAAUUGGCUCAACUGGACCCAUCUGCUCAGACACAAAGGAACUCAGCCUGGUCUACUCACAUGGACCAGUUACCCUGUGACAGGUAGCUUGCCCUACAGAGAGAGGUAGUCCCUUACCCAAACAGAUCCCAGGUCAUUUAGGGCAUUUAACUUGCACCUUAAUCUCUACCCAGAGACCAACAGGCAGCCACUGCAAAUCCUGGAGCACUGGUGUCAUAUGCUCCCAACAAGAUGCACCUUUCAAUAAGUGAGAUGAUCCAUUCUGCACCAGCUUCAGCCUCCAAAUGGUUUUAAGGGAUAGCUUCAUGUUGAGUGCAAUGCAAUAGUUUAAUCUUGAAGUGACAAAGAUAUGGAUAACAAUGGCAAGGUCCACAUCCUGAUGAAAGGCUCAGCUUCCUGACCCUAAAAAAGCUGAAAUAGUUAAUCUGUUAUAUGUAGUCUACUGUACAUUAACUGUACCUGUGGUCAAAAUCACACCCAAGUUCUGAACUCUUGUGAGCAAUGACAGAUGCACUACCUCACUCAGAGAGACCCUUUAAACAUUUGUUACAUACAUGACAAAUGUUUAGCUGGCCUAGACUGUGCCAUAAUGCAGAAGACUUUGGUUUUGGAGCAAGUGCAGAUGUUUUGUUUCUCUGGCCAGCACAGAGAACAGGAGCACUGUGGAUGUUGGUUGAAUUAGGUCUGAAAACUUUAUAGUACUUCAGGCAACUCCAUGCUGCUCAACCUCCAUUCUUGUCACAGGAAAAGUGUUCCUAUCUUUGAAAUAAGAAUACAGGAUGUGAAGGAGUGGGGAUAAUCAGGAGUGGAGUAGUCAGGGUAAGA